GGCAGUGCGGCGUGCUAUACAUGCAAGUCGAGCGGAUGACAGAGGAGCUUGCUCCUCUAGAUUCAGCGGCGGACGGGUGAGUAACACGUGGGCAACCUGCCCUGUAGAUUGGGAUAACUCCGGGAAACCGGGGCUAAUACCGAAUAAUCCUUCGGACCUCAUGGUCCGAUGUUGAAAGGCGGCUUCGGCUGUCACUACAGGAUGGGCCCGCGGCGCAUUAGCUAGUUGGUGAGGUAACGGCUCACCAAGGCCACGAUGCGUAGCCGACCUGAGAGGGUGAUCGGCCACACUGGGACUGAGACACGGCCCAGACUCCUACGGGAGGCAGCAGUAGGGAAUCUUCCACAAUGGACGAAAGUCUGAUGGAGCAACGCCGCGUGAGUGAAGAAGGUUCUCGGAUCGUAAAACUCUGUUGUGAGGGAAGAACAAGUACCGGAGUAACUGCCGGUACCUUGACGGUACCUCAUUAGAAAGCCACGGCUAACUACGUGCCAGCAGCCGCGGUAAUACGUAGGUGGCAAGCGUUGUCCGGAAUCAUUGGGCGUAAAGCGCGCGCAGGCGGUCCCUUAAGUCUGAUGUGAAAGCCCACGGCUCAACCGUGGAGGGUCAUUGGAAACUGGGGGACUUGAGUGCAGAAGAGGAAAGCGGAAUUCCAAGUGUAGCGGUGAAAUGCGUAGAGAUUUGGAGGAACACCAGUGGCGAAAGCGGCUUUCUGGUCUGUAACUGACGCUGAGCGCGAAAGCGUGGGGAGCAAACAGGAUUAGAUACCCUGGUAGUCCACGCCGUAACGAUGAGUGCUAAGUGUUAGGGGUUUCCGCCCCUUAGUGCUGCAGCUAACGCAUUAAGCACUCCGCCUGGGGGAGUACGGUCGCAAGACUGAAACUCAAGGAAUGACGGGGGCCCGCACAAGCGGUGGAGCAUGUGGUUUAUUCGAAGCAACGCGAAGAACUACAAGUCUGACAUCCCGCGACGCCUAGAACUGGCUCCCUCGGACGCGUGACGUGUGCAUGUGUCGUCAGCUCUGUCUGAGAUGUGGGUAAGUCCGCAACAACGCACUGAAUCUAGUUGCCACAUCAGUGCACUCUAGGUAACUGAGGACACGAGAGUGAUGACUAUCACAUGCUUAGACUUGUCACGGUCCAUGAUGUCAGUCGUAAGCGAGGACCAUCGC
rnacentral:rRNA from 1 species